rnacentral:rRNA from 1 species
ACCAGCAGCCAUAUCACCCUAUAGCUCUCAUCUGGCUACCCACUGAAGUUAAGCAGGGAUGAGCCUGGUCAGUAUCUGGAUGGGAGACCUCCUAGGAAGCUAAGGUUGCUGCUAGAA